GUCUUGGCUUUUGCAGAUCCCGGGGCUGAGGCUCAGGGUCCCAGGCGUCCCGGGGACCGGACGCAGACUGACUGACCUCUUGCUGGUGUGGGGUGGCCCUAGCGCUGCCUCCUGGGAACGGGUCCCCUGACAGCUACCCGGUCGCUGCACCGGUAUUUUUGCAGGAGCAGCUGCUAGAGUGGGGCCUCCACAUGGAUGCCAGAGACCCCGCCCUGGUUCCCAGGAGGCUUGGGAUCUGGGCCUGCCUCCUCCUCCGCCUCUGGUCUUUGGGUUGCGCCUCCCAGCACUCACGAGGACCCGGGGCUGGGAGGCAACGUUCAGGCCCCAGGCUCGGGCGCUCCCCGUUAAGGGGCCCUGGCUCCUUGUGGGGCAGUGGGUGGGGGCUGCAGCAUCAGAGGCAAGAACCAGGCCUCGGAGGCCUCCCAACCUGGACGUAAGCGCUGAGUGGCCUUGGGCCAGGUGUUGAACCUCCCGUGCCUCGGUUUCCCGUCUGUGAAACAGGGCUGGUAUCAUCAGCAGCCUCAGAGAGCGUGCUGGGGGCCAACCCUGAGGUGGUGCGUGAACACUCUGCAGCACAGGGCCUGGCGUGCCUAGGAAAGGAGCCACGAGCGUCACCGGCUGACGUAGCACGGUCAUGGGCCAGCUCGGUGGCCUCAUCUGUCAGAGCAGUGCACUUGUGCCUGCGACUGUGGCGCUGAAGGGCCCGCCCCCCGGGCACUCCCGGCCCUGCGCCCCCACGGCGCAAGGAGGGGAGGCUAAGGCGGCCAAGGCCCCCGUGGCCCUGGGAGGAGGGCACGGACAUGCAGAGGGCACGACGAGCAGCCUGUGAUGUCUUCGGGCUGGACGUGCUCUGGACGCCCGUGGCCUGCAGUGCCCCCCACGUGAACUCGGGCCGCUGCGAGGGGACAGUCUGGAGCCAGGAGGACGCGUCUAGACGUGGGGACAGCCGCCCCACAGCUCCCCAGCACUGCACACGGGUGAGCACACCCACUGGGCCGUGUGCCGCGCUGGAUCCAGACGCCGGGGUCCUGGCCACCUGCACAGCACCCACCGCUGCGUGGGCUGCAGCCCUGGAGAACCUGCCGUCACGGUGGUUCCCCCAGCGCCCCAACACGGCCCGGCAGAGCUUGUUCCCCGCACGCAGCCGGCGCCAGGUCUUGGGGGCCGCGCGGCAGCAGGUGCGCCGGGGCCCAACAGCAGCCCGCCGACCUCCUGGGGCCGCAGCAGCAUGCGGAGCCGACUGGGCAGGAUGGAGGGGAGACCCCGGGAGACGCUCCUCCGUCCUCCGGCCGCGGGCACCGAGCAGGGACCUGGUCGGUUUCGCUUAACCUAAGUCCCCGGGCCCUCGGCUGGACAGGUUUGUGUCUUGAUGAGAAGCAGAGAGCCCCC
rnacentral:lncRNA from 1 species